AAGCUUGGUCCUGACUUUUCUAUCAGCUGUGGUUAAAUUUAUACAUGCAAGUAUCCGCACCCCUGUGAGAAUGCCCUAAAUAUUCCCCCAUCGGAAUAGAGGAGCAGGUAUAAGGCACGACCCUGUCAGCCCACAACGCCUUGCUUAGCCACACCCCCAAGGGAACUCAGCAGUAAUAAACAUUAAGCAAUUAGUGUAAACUUGACUUAGUUAAAACCAGCUUAGGGCCGGUAAAACUCGUGCCAGCCACCGCGGUUAUACGAGGGGCCCAAGUUGAUAGACAUCGGCGUAAAAUGUGGUUAAUACAACAUUUCACUAAAGCCAAACAUCUUCAAAUCUGUCAUAAGUUCUUGAAGACAGGAAGUUCACUAACGAAAGUAGCUUUAAUCGUUAUGACCCACGAAAGCUAGGACACAAACUGGGAUUAGAUACCCCACUAUGCCUAGCCCUAAACAUAAGUGAUAUUCCCACAGACCCGCUUGCCAGGGAACUACGAGCCCCAGCUUAAAACCCAAAGGACUUGGCGGUGCUUUAGACCCCCCUAGAGGAGCCUGUCCUAUAACCGAUGAUCCCCGUUAAACCUCACCUUCUCUUGUUUCCCCCGCCUAUAUACCGCCGUCGUCAGCCCACCCUGUGAAGGACUCACAGUGGGCACAAUUGGUACAACCUAAAACGUCAGGUCGAGGUGUAGCGUACGAGAAGGGAAGAGAUGGGCUACAUUCACUGCUUCAGUGAACACGAACAAUGUCUUGAAACAGACAUUCAAAGGAGGAUUUAGCAGUAAGGGGAGAAAAGAGUGCCCCCCUGAAAUUGGCCCUGAAGCGCGCACACACCGCCCGUCACCCUCCCC
rnacentral:ncRNA from 1 species